rnacentral:rRNA from 1 species
GAUGAACGCUGGCGGCGUGCCUAAUACAUGCAAGUCGUACGGAAAGGCCCUUCGGGGUACUCGAGUGGCGGACGGCUGAGUAACGCGUGGGAACGUGCCCCAAAGUGAGGGAUAACGCACCUAACGGUGUGCUAAUACCGCAUAUGGUCUUCGGAUUAAAGCUUCGGCGCUUUGGGAGCGGCCCGCGUACGAUUAGAUAGUUGGUGAGGUAAUGGCUCACAAAGUCGACGAUCGUUAGCUGGUCUGAGAGGAUGAUCAGCCAGACUGGGACUGAGACACGGCCCAGACUCCUACGGGAGGCAGCAGUAUGGAAUCUUCCACAAUGGGGGCAACCCUGAUGGAGCAACGCCGCGUGCAGGAUGAAGGUUUUCGGAUCGUAAACUGCUUUUAUAAGUGAAGAAUAUGACGGUAACUUAUGAAUAAGGAUCGGCUAACUACGUGCCAGCCGCCGCCGUAA